rnacentral:rRNA from 1 species
CAGCCGCCGCGGGAAUACGAAGGGGGCUAGCGUUGCUCGGAAUUACUGGGCGUAAAGGGCGCGUAGGCGGACAGUUUAGUCAGAGGUGGAAGCCCAGGGCUCAACCUUGGAAUUGCCUUUGAUACUGGCUGUCUUGAGUACGGGAGAGGUGUGUGGAACUCCGAGUGUAGAGGUGAAAUUCGUAGAUAUUCGGAAGAACAUCGGUGGCGAAGGCGACACACUGGCCCGUUACUGACGCUGAGGCGCGAAAGCGUGGGGAGCAAACAGGAUUAGAUACCCCUGUAGUCCCUGUCUCUUAUAC